GAUGAACGCUAGCGGGAGGCCUAAUACAUGCAAGUCGAACGGUAACAGGUAGCAAUACGCUGACGAGUGGCGCACGGGUGCGUAACGCGUACACAAUCUGCCUUAUACUGGGGCAUAGCCUUUGGAAACGAAGAAUAAUUCCCCAUAAUAUAUAGAAGAGGCAUCUCUUUUAUAUUAAAGCUCAGGCGGUAUAAGAUGAGUGUGCGUCCGAUUAGGUAGUUGGUGAGGUAACGGCUCACCAAGCCAACGAUCGGUAGCUGGUCUGAGAGGAUGAUCAGCCACACGGGCACUGAGACACGGGCCCGACUCCUACGGGAGGCAGCAGUAGGGAAUAUUGGACAAUGGGCGCAAGCCUGAUCCAGCCAUCCCGCGUGAAGGAUGAAGGUCCUCUGGAUUGUAAACUUCUUUUCUUCGGGAAUAAAAACUAGGGGUUCUCCUCAGCUUGAAGGUACCGAAGGAAUAAGCACCGGCUAACUCCGUGCCAGCAGCCGCGGUAA
rnacentral:rRNA from 1 species